GUAAAAUGCUCUGGUGUACUUUGUACUUUGUGGCCUGAAUUGCAGCUGCUCAGCCGAUGGGAAUUACCCGCAUUCUGACGUUUGCCAUGAAUAAUGUACUUAGCAUGAAAUGAGUUCCUCAAUCUUAUCAGCUUGAAGAAGCAAUAGAAAGUUACAAUUAUGUAUUCAUCUCCAAAACGAAGCUGUUUUCUCAAAGUUAUGACCUGGAACCUUGGAGUAGAGAAGAGCAGAGUUAUAUGCAAUUACAUCACUUCAAGAAAAUGAGACAAAGCAUCUAUAAUUCCAUCCAGUAUCUAGUUCUCUCAAAAAAGGUGCCCUCAGGGAGAUAAAGAAAGCAGAAACGGUCGGAGAAGCAAAUUUGUAUUAAGGCACUUAAGGCAUCUUGCCACCACUGGGUCUGGGAGGCGCUGCUCAGUCUGCCGACAGUAUCUUCUGGAAUUACUGGUGUGGUGGAACUCAAGAAUUUUCUGCUUCACCUGAGCUUCCCAGUAGAAAUUCUUAGGUUGACGUCACACAGAUCACGACUCAUUUUUCCUGUUUGUAUAUUUGCUGCAAAAGAAUCGACACUCUCUCCUCUUAAGCUCCUUUACUAGGCUCUAGGUGAUGAUGAAGUUUUCCUUUAAGUUAAUAUCCUUAUUACUUAAAUAGGAGACACUUCAUGUUCUACUUCUGAAAGCAGUGGUAUUAGUUAAGUUUGGUUCUUGAGAUUAUGUUAUGAAAGUGAUGAAAUCACUAUAAUUUAUCAUUUUAAACAUACAAAUUAAUUUUUGCAACAGAAUAACUCUCUAACUGUAGUGUAAAAGGAAAAUAUUCAGAAUUCCUUUCUCAGAGGUUGUGUUUUCAAAUGGCCUAUACUUGAAUAUUUUAAAAAUCUAAGCUUUUAUGUGAAGCCCAUGUAACCCUAGUAACCGUGAAUUCCCCACCUACAUUGCAAUCAAUGAAUCUAUAUAAGCAAAUGGACUGUCAGCAUUGGGUUUCUAUCUCAGUUAAAAGUAAAGGAUGCUUCUUAUUUUAGGAAAUUAAAACAAGAAUCAGGUAUAGAACUUUUAAUUACAUGCUUAAAAGACUUGUUACAUACAUGUUACACUAUUUUGAAUAUAACUGGAAAAGUUAAUUUUUUCGUAAUCAUUGCUGGGUCUCUCUGUGUCACUCUUUUCUCUCUUUCUCUCUCUCUCUGAUUGACCACAACAUUUAAUAGUUUAUAAUAAAAUGUUAUACACGUGAGAAAUAGUAGAAUAAAUGUAAAUUCAACACAAUAUUCUAAUGUAUAGAUAUAAAGUUGUUAUCUAUCUAUCUAUCUAUCUAAACAGAUUUUAACUAGAAAGACUUCCACCCAGUUACGGUUAAGUAGAUUAAUCUCAAAUCAAUUUCAAAUAUGGUUAAAUAAAUUUAUCUCAAUUGGGGCUACUGUUCUUUAUUUAGACAUAUGUCUAUCAAUAAAUAUAAAGGCAAAUAACUUUGUUUAAGGAUGUAUAACAAUAUGGAAAUUCAGCAUAAAAGUAUAUUUCCUCUUUGAAAAAUCUUUAAUGAAUAUUGGAACCCUAACUUAUUCUAAUUCAAUUUGAUUCCUUUAUAAGUUUUUAGCUAAACUGUACUAAACACAAUCAGACCCCAGAGGGAAAUAACAUAGUAAACUUCAGUUAGGUUGGGUUUAGAAUUCUAUCCACAAUUCUCCAGUCAAUAUCUAAUUGUAAGCACACUGAAGAAUUUCAACUCUGCAAUUUGAAAAAAGAAUCCAUUAAAACACCAAUGAUAUUAAGUUAGGGUAUACUGCAAACUCUUUGACUGCUUUAUUUAAUAAAAUAACAAGAUAAAAAUGACGUCAAUGGAAAUUACUAGUCAUAGACACUAAGUAGGUCCCCUCAAGAAAAUUAGCAACAUUAAUAACUAACAACAUUGACAAAAGUGCCCUUUAAGUGAAACUUCAUAAAAUAAAGCCACUUUCCUGUAAUUUAAGCUUAAGAGGUAGAGACUGACAAAAUAGAAGUAUUAUUCCUUCAUGUCUCUUGUCCAUCAACACAAAUUAAAAACAGCACUUCAAUACAAACAAUUCAAUAUGUGCUGAAAUAUAAAGACAUGGAUUAUAUGGUCUAAAUUGAUGAAAGUUAUUCAAAAGCAGUCUCCUUUAUAAAACCCAAAUGGCAUGAAUUCCACAAUAUGAGAUUGUGUGUAACUCUCUUACUCUAAAAUUCUGUUUUCUUUUUAGGAAUAACAGAUUAAUGUAAAUGUGAAUUUUUCAAAAGAAAACUGAUUGAGUAGCAAAUAUGUCUGAAUUUGCCAUCACAUACUCUAUCUGAAAAAUGGAAAGAAGCCAGGUCAUUUCGUUGCUACCCAGAGAGAUGAUCCUAGCACACCUGUCACCUGCUUGCCUGUCCUGGACCCAGUCUCCGGGAACCAGUUCAAUUCCAGCAUGCUAAUACACACUGUCUGGUCUCCCUAGUUCAGCUUGCCCUCCCUGAUAACGGCCCCUUUGGCAGAGCAGCUUAUUUUUAAUGCUAACAGUAGGUAUCACUUACAGAACACUUGCUGACUGUUCAGUUCCCAUCAAAGAAAGCCUUAUGUGGCAGAUCCUUUGAUGAUGCUUGUUUUACAGACAAACGUUUGGGGCUUAGGUUAAGAAACUUGAGAGGGGGCAAACUAAUAAGUGGCAAAGCCGAGCUUUGAACCUACCACUCUUCUGCUUCAGAAUUCAUAUCCUUAACUCAUGGACUCCCAUUUAAUUAUUUAUGUUUAUUAUUUCAUUGUUUGGUGGGCGCUUAUAUUGAAAAUUCAUUUUUUUUGGUGGGGGGCAUGCUUUCUGUCACUUUGCAGAAACAAAUAAAAGUUGAGCUGAACCCUCAA